rnacentral:rRNA from 1 species
CCUAGCGGCGUGCCUAAUCAUGCAAGUCGAGCGAACGGACGAGAAGCUUGCUUCUCUGAUGUUAGCGGCGGACGGGUGAGUAACACGUGGAUAACCUACCUAUAAGACUGGGAUAACUUCGGGAAACCGGAGCUAAUACCGGAUAAUAUUUUGAACCGCAUGGUUCAAAAGUGAAAGACGGUCUUGCUGUCACUUAUAGAUGGAUCCGCGCUGCAUUAGCUAGUUGGUAAGGUAACGGCUUACCAAGGCAACGAUGCAUAGCCGACCUGAGAGGGUGAUCGGCCACACUGGAACUGAGACACGGUCCAGACUCCUACGGGAGGCAGCAGUAGGGAAUCUUCCGCAAUGGGCGAAAGCCUGACGGAGCAACGCCACGUGAGUGAUGAAGGUCUUCGGAUCGUAAAACUCUGUUAUUAGGGAAGAACAUAUGUGUAAGUAACUGUGCACAUCUUGACGGUACCUAAUCAGAAAGCCACGGCCCACUACGUGCCAGCAGCCGCGGUAAU